rnacentral:pre_miRNA from 1 species
CCCUUAACUAUUAAAAGUUUCGUUUUGGUCCUUUAACUUACUUUUUGGUUUCGUUUUGGUCCCUUAACUCUUCCUCCGUCAACCACUUUGGUCCUUUAUGUUAGGAUGAAUGUAUUAGAGUUAAGGGACCAAAAUGAAAGCAAAAAAUAAGUUAAGGGACCAAAACGAGACCAAAAAAAUAAGUUAAGGGACCAAAACGAAACUUUUAAUAGUUAAGGGACCAAAAGAUAACCCAAAAAUAAGUUAUGGGACCGAAACAAAACUUUUAAUAGUUAAGGAA